rnacentral:hammerhead_ribozyme from 1 species
GCACUGAUGAAGAGUUCCAGACCGGGACGAAACAGCUGUCUAGUAC